rnacentral:rRNA from 1 species
GACGAACGCUGGCGGCGUGCUUAACACAUGCAAGUCGAACGGAAAGGCCCUGCUUUUGUGGGGUGCUCGAGUGGCGAACGGGUGAGUAACACGUGAGUAACCUGCCCUUGACUUUGGGAUAACUUCAGGAAACUGGGGCUAAUACCGGAUAGGAGCUCCUGCUGCAUGGUGGGGGUUGGAAAGUUUCGGCGGUUGGGGAUGGACUCGCGGCUUAUCAGCUUGUUGGUGGGGUAGUGGCUUACAAAGGCUUUGACGGGUAGCCGGCCUGAGAGGGUGACCGGCCACAUUGGGACUGAGAUACGGCCCAGACUCCUACGGGAGGCAGCAGUGGGGGAUAUUGCACAAUGGGCGGAAGCCUGAUGCAGCAACGCCGCGUGCGGGAUGACGGCCUUCGGGUUGUAAACCGCUUUCGCCUGUGACGAAGCGUGAGUGACGGUAAUGGGUAAAGAAGCACCGGCUAACUACGUG